rnacentral:rRNA from 1 species
UGCAGUAGAACGCUGAAGACUUUAGCUUGCUAAAGUUGGAAGAGUUGCGAACGGGUGAGUAACGCGUAGGUAACCUGCCUACUAGCGGGGGAUAACUAUUGGAAACGAUAGCUAAUACCGCAUAACAGCAUUUAACACAUGUUAGAUGCUUGAAAGGAGCAAUUGCUUCACUAGUAGAUGGACCUGCGUUGUAUUAGCUAGUUGGUGAGGUAACGGCUCACCAAGGCGACGAUACAUAGCCGACCUGAGAGGGUGAUCGGCCACACUGGGACUGAGACACGGCCCAGACUCCUACGGGAGGCAGCAGUAGGGAAUCUUCGGCAAUGGGGGCAACCCUGACCGAGCAACGCCGCGUGAGUGAAGAAGGUUUUCGGAUCGUAAAGCUCUGUUGUAAGAGAAGAACGUGUGUGAGAGUG